GGACUACAGGGGUAUCUAAUCCCAUUCGCUACCCUGGCUUUCGUUCCUCAGUGUCAGUUAUGGCCCAGCUAGUCGCCUACGCCACCGGUGUUCUUCCCAAUAUCUACGCAUUUCACCGCUACACUGGGAAUUCCACUAGCCUCUACCACACUCAAGUCUGCCAGUAUCCAAUGCAUAUCCAGGGUUGAGCCCCAGUCUUUAACAUCAGACUUAACAAACCACCUACGAACUCUUUACGCCCAAUAAAUCCGGACAACGCUCGCAUCCUACGUCUUACCGCGGCUGCUGGCAC
rnacentral:rRNA from 1 species